rnacentral:misc_RNA from 1 species
AAUUAUUUAUUUUGACAGUAUAAAACGCUUUAUUUCUUAUUUGCCAACCAAUUUGCCCAGGCUAAAUGCUUUACACAGAUAGUAAAACGCACACUCCUCAAAGUAUAUAAACUAUUACAGAUUCAUGUCCUGGAACCUAAACAUGCAAAUCAUGCUCAGCCCAGCAACGUAUACAAAAGCUUUAGUUAUAUCAAAAUAAAUAAUUAGUCUACCAGUGUUUACUUAAGCCAAUAUUUGCAGUUUUCGAGGGAGGCAAUUCAUCCGUAGCAUCUGAUGGGAUCAUUGCAGCCUUUCUCAGGAGAUUGCCUAAAUCCAAAACGGCCUCCUUUUGCAAGGUAUUGCUGGUGAUAUUCUUCAGCUCGGUAGAAUUUCUUGGCAGGUGAAAUUUCGGUAACUAUCUUACGGUUCAAGAGCUUCUGCUGUUGUUCCAGAGUCUCCAGUGCUGCCUUUUCCUGUUCAGGCGUGUAAAAGUAUAUUCCAGAUCUGUAUUGUGUUCCCACAUCAUUUCCCUGGCG